rnacentral:rRNA from 1 species
UCAAGCGAAUAAGCGCACACGGUGGAUGCCUUGGCGGUCAGAGGCGAUGAAGGACGUGGCAGCCUGCGAAAAGUAUCGGGGAGCUGGCAACAAGCUUUGAUCCGGUAAUGUCCGAAUGGGGAAACCCACCCGCUUGCGGGUAUCCUGCAGUGAAUACAUAGCUGCUGGAAGCGAACCUGGUGAACUGAAAUAUCUAAGUAACCAGAGGAAAAGAAAUCAACCGAGAUUCCGUAAGUAGCGACGAGCGAACGCGGACUAGCCCUUAAGCUGAUUUGGUUCUAGGAAAACGCUCUGGAAAGAGCGGCCAUAGAAGGUGAUAGCCCUGUAUCUGAAAGGGCCAUUUCAGUGAAGACGAGUAGGGCGGGGCACGUGAAACCCUGUCUGAACAUGGGGGGACCAUCCUCCAAGGCUAAAUACUACUGACCGACCGAUAGUGAACCAGUACCGUGAGGGAAAGGCGAAAAGAACCCCGGAGAGGGGAGUGAAAUAGAACCUGAAACCGUGUGCGUACAAGCAGUAGGAGCUCCGCAAGGAGUGACUGCGUACCUUUUGUAUAAUGGGUCAGCGACUUACUGUUCGUGGCAAGCUUAACCGUAUAGGGGAGGCGAAGGGAAACCGAGUCUGAUAAGGGCGCAUAGUCGCGGGCAGUAGACCCGAAACCGGGUGAUCUAGUCAUGCCCAGGGUGAAGGUGCGGUAACACGCACUGGAGGCCCGAACCCACUCCCGUUGCAAAGGUAGGGGAUGAGGUGUGAUUAGGAGUGAAAAGCUAAUCGAACCCGGAGAUAGCUGGUUCUCCUCGAAAGCUAUUUAGGUAGCGCCUCAUAUGUAUCCUCUCGGGGGUAGAGCACUGUUAUGGCUAGGGGGUCAUCGCGACUUACCAAACCAUUGCAAACUCCGAAUACCGAGACGGACUGUAUGGGAGACACACGGCGGGUGCUAACGUCCGUCGUGAAAAGGGAAACAACCCAGACCCACAGCUAAGGUCCCAAAUUUUGUGCUAAGUGGAAAACCAUGUGGAAAGGCACAGACAGCCAGGAGGUUGGCUUAGAAGCAGCCACCCUUUAAAGAAAGCGUAAUAGCUCACUGGUCGAGUCGGUCUGCGGGGAAGAUUUAACGGGGCUAAGCACAGAACCGAAGCUUGGGGUGCAUAACUUUGUUAUGCGCGGUAGAGGAGCGUUCCGUAAGCCGUUGAAGGUGGAUUGAGAAGUCUGCUGGAGGUAUCGGAAGUGCGAAUGCUGACAUGAGUAACGAUAAUGCGGGUGAAAAACCCGCACGCCGAAAGCCCAAGGUUUCCUUGCGCAACGUUAAUCGGCGCAGGGUGAGUCGGCCCCUAAGGCGAGGACGAAAGUCGUAGUCGAUGGGAAGCAGGUUAAUAUUCCUGCACCUCGCGUAAGUGCGAUGGAGGGACGGAGAAGGUUAGGUGUACCAGGCGUUGGUUGUCCUGGGGAAAGGCGGUAGGUUUGGAUCUUUGGCAAAUCCGGGAUCCUUUAAGACCGAGCACCGAGACGAGCCUUUAUGGCAAAGUCACUGAUACCACGCUUCCAGGAAAAGCUCCUAAGCUUCAGCUUACGCAGACCGUACCGUAAACCGACACAGGUGGGUAGGAUGAGAAUUCUCAGGCGCUUGAGAGAACUCGGGUGAAGGAACUAGGCAACAUGGCACCGUAACUUCGGGAGAAGGUGCACCCUUUUUGGUGGCUCGUGCGAGCUAUAGCUGAAGAGGGUCGCAGUAACCAGGCCGCUGCGACUGUUUAUCAAAAACACAGCACUCUGCAAACACGAAAGUGGACGUAUAGGGUGUGACGCCUGCCCGGUGCUGGAAGGUUAAUUGAUGGGGUCAGCCGCAAGGCGAAGCUCUUGAUCGAAGCCCCAGUAAACGGCGGCCGUAACUAUAACGGUCCUAAGGUAGCGAAAUUCCUUGUCGGGUAAGUUCCGACCUGCACGAAUGGCGUAACGACAGCGGCGCUGUCUCCACCCGAGACUCAGUGAAAUUGAAAUCGCUGUGAAGAUGCAGCGUUCCCGUGGCAAGACGGAGAGACCCCGUGAACCUUUACUAUAGCUUUACACUGAACGUUGAGUUCGUCUGUGUAGGAUAGGUGGGAGGCUAUGAAACCAUGGCGCUAGCUGUGGUGGAGCCAUCCUUGAAAUACCACCCUGUCGUGCUUGACGUUCUAACCUGGGCCCAUUAUCUGGGUCGGGGACCGUGUAUGGUGGGUAGUUUGACUGGGGCGGUCUCCUCCUAAAGAGUAACGGAGGAGCUCGAAGGUACGCUCAGCGCGGUCGGACAUCGCGCACUGUGUGCAAAGGCAUAAGCGUGCUUGACUGCAAGAUCGACGGAUCAAGCAGGUAGGAAACUAGGACUUAGUGAUCCGGUGGUUCUGUAUGGAAGGGCCAUCGCUCAACGGAUAAAAGGUACUCCGGGGAUAACAGGCUGAUACCGCCCAAGAGUUCAUAUCGACGGCGGUGUUUGGCACCUCGAUGUCGGCUCAUCACAUCCUGGGGCUGUAGUCGGUCCCAAGGGUAUGGCUGUUCGCCAUUUAAAGUGGUACGCGAGCUGGGUUCAGAACGUCGUGAGACAGUUCGGUCCCUAUCUGCCAUGGGCGUUGGAGAUUUGAGAGGGGCUGCUCCUAGUACGAGAGGACCGGAGUGGACGAACCUCUGGUGUUCCGGUUGUCACGCCAGUGGCAUUGCCGGGUAGCUAUGUUCGGAAGCGAUAACCGCUGAAAGCAUCUAAGCGGGAAGCGCGCCUCAAGAUGAGAUCUCCCGGGGCACAAGUCCCCUGAAGGAACCAUGUAGACUACGUGGUUGAUAGGUCAGGUGUGUAAGUACAGCAAUGUAUUGAGCUAACUGAUACUAAUGAUCCGUGCGGCUUGACCAU